UGUCAAAAUUAAGUAGUUCCUUGAGCCUCCCAGUGCCAGUGGUACAGUAGCCAUUUACAGUGGUGCCGCCUUCCCAAGUUCCCAUCAGCCAUUUGCAGCCUUCCCAAGUUCCCAUCAAGACAUAAGCCGUUGGGACAUUGUGCAAUAAAUGUGACCAGCCCAGCCCAGCCAGCGUCCAGUCUGCCGCCGCCGCUGCCGCCGCCGCCCCUGCCUGCCACCCACCGAUGGCUGCCUGGCUGUCUGUCCUCCCGAGGCUCCCUGCAGGACUGGCCGUGGCGUGUGCUGGUGACAGUGGUGCAGGAAUGGAGGGUGUGAGGCCGGGCAGCGGCAUGGGUGGCCAGUGCCAGCAGCAGCAGCAGCAGCAGCAGUCAGCCUCAGGUGUGGGGAGGCACAGGCGUGGUGGCAAGGAUCACCAGGAGACAGGCAGCUCUGGCCACACAGGACAGAGCAGGUUUGAGUGCCAGCAGUGUGACAAAACUUUUACCACCAAACAAGGCCUCACCACACACACCCUAGCACACAGUGGUGUUAGGAAUUAUGAGUGUGGUGACUGUGGAAAGAAAUUUGGCAGAAAGUCUACCCUCACCACACACAGCCUGACACACAGUGGUGUUAGGAAUUAUGAGUGUGGUGAGUGUGGGAAGAAAUUUAUUCUAAAGUCUCACCUCACCAAACACAGCCUGACACACAGUGGUGUUAGGAAUUAUAAGUGUGGUGAAUGUGCGAAAAAAUUUACCCAAAAGUCUACCCUCAAGAGACACAGCCUGACACACAGUGGUGUUAGGAAUUAUGAGUGUGGUGAGUGUGGGAAGAAAUUUAUUCUAAAGUCCCACCUCAACGGACACAGCCUGACACACAGUGGUGUUAGGAAUUAUGAGUGUGGUGAGUGUGGGAAGAAAUUUUCCCAAAAAAGUGAUCUCACCACACACAGCCUGACACACAGUGGUGUUAGGAAUUAUGAGUGUGGUGAAUGUGCAAAAAAAUUUACCCAAAAGUGUAGCCUCACCACACACAGCCUGACACACAGUGGUUUUAGGAAUUAUGAGUGUGGUGAGUGUGGGAAGAAAUUUAUUCUAAAGUCUCACCUCACCUCACACAGCCUGACACACAGUGGUGUUAAGAAUUAUGAGUGUGGUGAGUGUGGGAAGAAAUUUUCCCGAAAAAGUGAUCUCACCACACACAGCCUGAUACACAGUGGUGUUAGGAAUUAUGAGUGUGGUGAGUGUGGGAAGAAAUUUACCCAAAAGUCUCACCUCACCACACACAGCCUGACACAUAGUGGCGUUAAGAAAUAUGAGUGUGGUGAAUGUGGGAAGAAAUAUACCCACAAGUCUUCCCUCACCUCACACAGCCUGACACACAGUGGUGUUAGGAAUUAUGAGUGCGGUGAGUGUGGGAAGAAAUUUAUCCAUAAGUCUCGUUUCACCGCACACGGCCUGACACACAGUGGUGUUAGGAAUUAUGAGUGUGAUGAGUGUGGCAAAAGGUUUUUUAGCCUUGGUGAUCUUAAUAAACACACCUUCAGACACACUGGGUUGAGGGAGUUCAAGUGUGAUGACUGUGGCAAGUGUUUCAAGACAAAGAGUGAUAUUGCCAGACAUGUGAAGGUCCACUUUUGAGGUGGUGUGUUGUGUGGGUGGGUGGGGCACAGCCAUGCCUGUGGUAGCGGCUGUGUCUGUGUGUCUGUGUGUGCUGUGAGAGCAGCAGUUGUUCUGUGUGAGGGAGUGACGGCCGCAGCAGUUUUUUUGUUGGCGGCGCAGGUGUGCCUUUCAAUAAAUGUGUGUGUGUAACAUGGUGGCAAGUUGUUUUCCUUUUUGAGAGAUGGUCUGUGUGAGUUGGCUGUGUCUGGUGUUACUAUCGGUGUUGGCCUGACGCUGGAUUAACAACAGUGGACAGACAUAGUAGUAAUCUGGUUUGACUCAGCUAAAGCACUACAUGGUACUGUUUGCCAUCCAAUGUUACUUGACAAGCUUAACAAAC